rnacentral:rRNA from 1 species
GAAAUAUAGUAGCGAAGUUCCUGAUUCCACACUGCCAAGAAAAGCCUCUAGCGAGGUGAGAGGUGCCCGUACCGCAAACCGACACAGGUAGGCGAGGAGAGAAUCCUAAGGUGAUCGAGAGAACUCUCGUUAAGGAACUCGGCAAAAUGACCCCGUAACUUCGGGAGAAGGGGUGCUCUGUUAGGGUGCAAGCCCGAGAGAGCCGCAGUGAAUAGGCCCAGGCGACUGUUUAGCAAAAACACAGGUCUCUGCGAAGCCGUAAGGCGAAGUAUAGGGGCUGACGCCUGCCCGGUGCUGGAAGGUUAAGAGGAGCGCUUAGCGUAAGCGAAGGUGCGAAUUGAAGCCCCAGUAAACGGCGGCCGUAACAAUAACGGUCCUAAGGUAGCGAAAUUCCUUGUCGGGUAAGUUCCGACCCGCACGAAAGGCGCAACGAUCUGGGCACUGUCUCAACGAGAGACUCGGUGAAAUUAUAGUACCUGUGAAGAUGCAGGUUACCCGCGACAGGACGGAAAGACCCCGUGGAGCUUUACUGCAGCCUGAUAUUGAAUGUUGGUACAGCUUGUACAGGAUAGGUAGGAGCCUUGGAAACCGGAGCGCCAGCUUCGGUGGAGGCAUCGGUGGGAUACUACCCUGGCUGUAUUGACCUUCUAACCCGCCGCCCUUAUCGGGCGGGGAGACAGUGUCAGGUGGGCAGUUUGACUGGGGCGGUCGCCUCCUAAAAGGUAACGGAGGCGCCCAAAGGUUCCCUCAGAAUGGUUGGAAAUCAUUCGCAGAGUGUAAAGGCACAAGGGAGCUUGACUGCGAGACCUACAAGUCGAGCAGGGACGAAAGUCGGGCUUAGUGAUCCGGUGGUUCCGCAUGGAAGGGCCAUCGCUCAACGGAUAAAAGCUACCCCGGGGAUAACAGGCUUAUCUCCCCCAAGAGUCCACAUCGACGGGGAGGUUUGGCACCUCGAUGUCGGCUCAUCGCAUCCUGGGGCUGUAGUCGGUCCCAAGGGUUGGGCUGUUCGCCCAUUAAAGCGGUACGCGAGCUGGGUUCAGAACGUCGUGAGACAGUUCGGUCCCUAUCCGUCGCGGGCGCAGGAAAUUUGAGAGGAGCUGUCCUUAGUACGAGAGGACCGGGAUGGACGCACCGCUGGUGUACCAGUUGUUCUGCCAAGGGCAUCGCUGGGUAGCUAUGUGCGGACGGGAUAAGUGCUGUAAGCAUCUAAGCAUGAAGCCCCCCUCAAGAUGAGAUUUCCCAUUCCGCAAGGAAGUAAGAUCCCUGAAAGAUGAUCGGGUUGAUAGGUCUGAGGUGGAAGUGUGGCGACACAUGGAGCUGACAGAUACUAAUCGAUCGAGGACUUAACC